rnacentral:tRNA from 21 species
UGGGGUAUCGCCAAGCGGUAAGGCACCGGGUUUUGAUCCCGGCAUACCUAGGUUCGAAUCCUAGUACCCCAGCCA